rnacentral:rRNA from 1 species
UACGUAGGGGGCAAGCGUUGUCCGGAAUCAUUGGGCGUAAAGAGCGUGUAGGCGGCCCGGUAAGUCCGCUGUGAAAGUCCAGGGCUCAACCCUGGGAUGCCGGUGGAUACUGUCGGGCUCGAGUCCGGAAGAGGCGAGUGGAAUUCCCGGUGUAGCGGUGAAAUGCGCAGAUAUCGGGAGGAACACCUCUUGCGAAGGCAGCUCGCUGGGACGUUACUGACGCUGAGACGCGAAAGCGUGGGGAGCAAACAGG